GACGAACGCUGGCGGCGUGCCUAAUACAUGCAAGUCGAGCGGACGGAUGGGAGCUUGCUCCCAGACCGUCAGCGGCGGACCGGUGAGUAACACGUGGGCAACCUGCCUGUAAGCCUGGGAUAACUCCGGGAAACCGGGGCUAAUACCGGAUAACUCUUUCCCUCACCUGAGGGAAAGCUGAAAGAUGGCAUCUCGCUAUCACUUACAGAUGGGCCCGCGGCGCAUUAGCUAGUUGGUGAGGUAACGGCUCACCAAGGCGACGAUGCGUAGCCGACCUGAGAGGGUGAUCGGCCACACUGGGACUGAGACACGGCCCAGACUCCUACGGGAGGCAGCAGUAGGGAAUCUUCCGCAAUGGACGAAAGUCUGACGGAGCAACGCCGCGUGAGUGAUGAAGGUUUUCGGAUCGUAAAACUCUGUUGUCAGGGAAGAACAAGUACCGGAGUAACUGCCGGUACCUUGACGGUACCUGACCAGAAAGCCACGGCUAACUACGUG
rnacentral:rRNA from 1 species